rnacentral:rRNA from 1 species
UACGGGGGGUGCGAGCGUUGUCCGGAAUCACUGGGCGUAAAGGGCGCGUAGGUGGUUUGAUAAGGGUGUGGUGAAAGUCCGGGGCUCAACCCCGGAUCUGCCGUGCCGACUGUCAAACUCGAGGGCUGUAGAGGCAGACGGAAUUCCGGGUGCAGCGGUGGAAUGCGUAGAGAUCCGGAGGAAGACCGGUGGCGAAGGCGGUCUGCUGGGCAGUUUCUGACACUGAGGCGCGACAGCGUGGGGAGCAAACAGG